GGUUAAGCGACUAAGCGUACACGGUGGAUGCCCUGGCAGUCAGAGGCGAUGAAGGACGUGCUAAUCUGCGAUAAGCGUCGGUAAGGUGAUAUGAACCGUUAUAACCGGCGAUUUCCGAAUGGGGAAACCCAGUGUGAUUCGUCACACUAUCAUUAACUGAAUCCAUAGGUUAAUGAGGCGAACCGGGGGAACUGAAACAUCUAAGUACCCCGAGGAAAAGAAAUCAACCGAGAUUCCCCCAGUAGCGGCGAGCGAACGGGGAGCAGCCCAGAGCCUGAAUCAGUGUGUGUGUUAGUGGAAGCGUCUGGAAAGGCGCGCGAUACAGGGUGACAGCCCCGUACACAAAAAUGCACAUACUGUGAGCUCGAUGAGUAGGGCGGGACACGUGGUAUCCUGUCUGAAUAUGGGGGGACCAUCCUCCAAGGCUAAAUACUCCUGACUGACCGAUAGUGAACCAGUACCGUGAGGGAAAGGCGAAAAGAACCCCGGCGAGGGGAGUGAAAAAGAACCUGAAACCGUGUACGUACAAGCAGUGGGAGCACAGAGCAAUCUGUGUGACUGCGUACCUUUUGUAUAAUGGGUCAGCGACUUAUAUUCUGUAGCAAGGUUAACCGAAUAGGGGAGCCGAAGGGAAACCGAGUCUUAACUGGGCGUUAAGUUGCAGGGUAUAGACCCGAAACCCGGUGAUCUAGCCAUGGGCAGGUUGAAGGUUGGGUAACACUAACUGGAGGACCGAACCGACUAAUGUUGAAAAAUUAGCGGAUGACUUGUGGCUGGGGGUGAAAGGCCAAUCAAACCGGGAGAUAGCUGGUUCUCCCCGAAAGCUAUUUAGGUAGCGCCUCGUGAAUUCAUCUCCGGGGGUAGAGCACUGUUUCGGCAAGGGGGUCAUCCCGACUUACCAACCCGAUGCAAACUGCGAAUACCGGAGAAUGUUAUCACGGGAGACACACGGCGGGUGCUAACGUCCGUCGUGAAGAGGGAAACAACCCAGACCGCCAGCUAAGGUCCCAAAGUCAUGGUUAAGUGGGAAACGAUGUGGGAAGGCCCAGACAGCCAGGAUGUUGGCUUAGAAGCAGCCAUCAUUUAAAGAAAGCGUAAUAGCUCACUGGUCGAGUCGGCCUGCGCGGAAGAUGUAACGGGGCUAAACCAUGCACCGAAGCUGCGGCAGCGACACUAUGUGUUGUUGGGUAGGGGAGCGUUCUGUAAGCCUGCGAAGGUGUGCUGUGAGGCAUGCUGGAGGUAUCAGAAGUGCGAAUGCUGACAUAAGUAACGAUAAAGCGGGUGAAAAGCCCGCUCGCCGGAAGACCAAGGGUUCCUGUCCAACGUUAAUCGGGGCAGGGUGAGUCGACCCCUAAGGCGAGGCCGAAAGGCGUAGUCGAUGGGAAACAGGUUAAUAUUCCUGUACUUGGUGUUACUGCGAAGGGGGGACGGAGAAGGCUAUGUUGGCCGGGCGACGGUUGUCCCGGUUUAAGCGUGUAGGCUGGUUUUCCAGGCAAAUCCGGAAAAUCAAGGCUGAGGCGUGAUGACGAGGCACUACGGUGCUGAAGCAACAAAUGCCCUGCUUCCAGGAAAAGCCUCUAAGCAUCAGGUAACAUCAAAUCGUACCCCAAACCGACACAGGUGGUCAGGUAGAGAAUACCAAGGCGCUUGAGAGAACUCGGGUGAAGGAACUAGGCAAAAUGGUGCCGUAACUUCGGGAGAAGGCACGCUGAUAUGUAGGUGAAGCGACUUGCUCGUGGAGCUGAAAUCAGUCGAAGAUACCAGCUGGCUGCAACUGUUUAUUAAAAACACAGCACUGUGCAAACACGAAAGUGGACGUAUACGGUGUGACGCCUGCCCGGUGCCGGAAGGUUAAUUGAUGGGGUUAGCGCAAGCGAAGCUCUUGAUCGAAGCCCCGGUAAACGGCGGCCGUAACUAUAACGGUCCUAAGGUAGCGAAAUUCCUUGUCGGGUAAGUUCCGACCUGCACGAAUGGCGUAAUGAUGGCCAGGCUGUCUCCACCCGAGACUCAGUGAAAUUGAACUCGCUGUGAAGAUGCAGUGUACCCGCGGCAAGACGGAAAGACCCCGUGAACCUUUACUAUAGCUUGACACUGAACAUUGAGCCUUGAUGUGUAGGAUAGGUGGGAGGCUUUGAAGUGUGGACGCCAGUCUGCAUGGAGCCGACCUUGAAAUACCACCCUUUAAUGUUUGAUGUUCUAACGUUGACCCGUGAUCCGGGUUGCGGACAGUGUCUGGUGGGUAGUUUGACUGGGGCGGUCUCCUCCUAAAGAGUAACGGAGGAGCACGAAGGUUGGCUAAUCCUGGUCGGACAUCAGGAGGUUAGUGCAAUGGCAUAAGCCAGCUUGACUGCGAGCGUGACGGCGCGAGCAGGUGCGAAAGCAGGUCAUAGUGAUCCGGUGGUUCUGAAUGGAAGGGCCAUCGCUCAACGGAUAAAAGGUACUCCGGGGAUAACAGGCUGAUACCGCCCAAGAGUUCAUAUCGACGGCGGUGUUUGGCACCUCGAUGUCGGCUCAUCACAUCCUGGGGCUGAAGUAGGUCCCAAGGGUAUGGCUGUUCGCCAUUUAAAGUGGUACGCGAGCUGGGUUUAGAACGUCGUGAGACAGUUCGGUCCCUAUCUGCCGUGGGCGCUGGAGAACUGAGGGGGGCUGCUCCUAGUACGAGAGGACCGGAGUGGACGCAUCACUGGUGUUCGGGUUGUCAUGCCAAUGGCACUGCCCGGUAGCUAAAUGCGGAAGAGAUAAGUGCUGAAAGCAUCUAAGCACGAAACUUGCCCCGAGAUGAGUUCUCCCUGACUCCUUGAGAGUCCUGAAGGAACGUUGAAGACGACGACGUUGAUAGGCCGGGUGUGUAAGCGCAGCGAUGCGUUGAGCUAACCGGUACUAAUGAACCGUGAGGCUUAACCUU
rnacentral:rRNA from 1 species